GGGAAGGAACUUGAGCAACGCAUUAGUAACGCUAUGUGUCGUGGUAGGUUGAUGAGUAAAAAAAAAAAAAAAAAAUUCCCAAUCGUCUCUCUCUUUUCUCUCUCGAUCCAAAAGACGAAUCAAUCCCCGAUUUGAUUCCAUCUUCGCCUUGAUUUCUUCGUCCUAGUCAACUCCAGUUCCGUUUCGGAUUACGCCGUACGGAGAAGUCUUCCCUUCGUUGUCUUCGUCGCGCCGGAGAAGCAAAUCGGACGGAAUCAGACAGAGAGAUGAAGCAAAAAACGACGUGUAACUAUGGAGAUUGUUGUGUCUGCCUUUGACAUUAUAACCCAGGUAUGUAUUUUCCAAUUUCAAACACUUAGUCUGUGUUUCUAUAUAUGUUGUUCUGUAAUUGUGGAUUUUACUUGAGAUUUUCUUUUUUGUUUUGUGUUUUUUUGAUUCAUGAGGAUGCAAACUGUGGUAUAUUCCCUGUUCACACUGGGAAUAGUUUUUUCCUGAUAGUCAUAUAUAAUUCUUGAAUGCAGACUGUCAUUGAGAACACUUUGAUGUUAUAAUUCAACUAAUUAUAUAAUUAAUAUUAAAAUAUUAAA